rnacentral:rRNA from 1 species
UGUUUCGGCAAGGGGGUCAUCCCGACUUACCAACCCGAUGCAAACUGCGAAUACCGGAGAAUGUUAUCACGGGAGACACACGGCGGGUGCUAACGUCCGUCGUGAAGAGGGAAACAACCCAGACCGCCAGCUAAGGUCCCAAAGUCAUGGUUAAGUGGGAAACGAUGUGGGAAGGCCCAGACAGCCAGGAUGUUGGCUUAGAAGCAGCCAUCAUUUAAAGAAAGCGUAAUAGCUCACUGGUCGAGUCGGCCUGCGCGGAAGAUGUAACGGGGCUAAACCAUGCACCGAAGCUGCGGCAGCGACGCUGAUGCGUUGUUGGGUAGGGGAGCGUUCUGUAAGCCUGUGAAGGUGUGCUGUGAGGCAUGCUGGAGGUAUCAGAAGUGCGAAUGCUGACAUAAGUAACGAUAAAGCGGGUGAAAAGCCCGCUCGCCGGAAGACCAAGGGUUCCUGUCCAACGUUAAUCGGGGCAGGGUGAGUCGACCCCUAAGGCGAGGCCGAAAGGCGUAGUCGAUGGGAAACAGGUUAAUAUUCCUGUACUUGGUGUUACUGCGAAGGGGGGACGGAGAAGGCUA